AAACGAUAUGCAACUGUGUAAAUGGAUGAUCAAGGAAAAGGGCAUCGCCGCAAUUCCUCCAAGUGCGUUCUAUUCCAAGAAUAGGAAGAUAGCAGAGAAAUUUGUACGAUUUUGUUUCAUCAAAAAAGACAGCACGUUGAGAGAACUGGAAGAUGCUUUGAAAAAGUGGUAGAGACAUAUAAAGAGAAUUAAAUAUGAGAAUUAGAUGGCAUUUAUUCGUAUACUCGAAUUUCAUUGAUUUCAAAAUAAAUUAAAUCUUAAUUAA